rnacentral:rRNA from 1 species
AGUGAACGCUGGCGGUGGGCCUAACACAUGCAAGUCGAACGGCAGCACAGUAAGAGCUUGCUCUUACGGGUGGCGAGUGGCGGACGGGUGAGGAAUACAUCGGAAUCUACUUUUUCGUGGGGGAUAACGUAGGGAAACUUACGCUAAUACCGCAUACGACCUACGGGUGAAAGCAGGGGAUCUUCGGACCUUGCGCGAUUGAAUGAGCCGAUGUCGGAUUAGCUAGUUGGCGGGGUAAAGGCUCACCAAGGCGACGAUCCGUAGCUGGUCUGAGAGGAUGAUCAGCCACACUGGAACUGAGACGCGGUCCAGACUCCUACGCGAGGCAGCAGUGGAGAAUAUUGGACGAUGGGCGAAAGCCUGAUACAGCCAUACCGCGUGGGUGAAGAAGGCCUUCGGGUUGUAAAGCCAUUUUGUUGGGAAAGAAAAGCAGCAGGUUAAUACCCCGCUGUUCUGACGGUACCCAAAGAAUAAGCACCGGCUAACUUCGUG